rnacentral:RNase_P_RNA from 1 species
GCGGGAAGGAACACGGUCGCGCCCUGAUUUAACCCAGGGUGAGGAAAGUCCGGGCACCGCAGGGCAAGAUGCCAGCUAACGGCUGGGCGGCGAGUGAACCGGCGUGCUUGAGAGAACGCACGCACAGGCGCGAAGCCGACGGACAGUGCCACAGAAACCAGACCGCCCGCCGCAAAAAGGCCGCUCUCACGGUGCGGCGGGUCAGGGUGAAACGGUGCGGUAAGAGCGCACCAGGCCCGGCAGAAAUGUCAGGCGUUUGGUAAACCCCAUCUGGUGCAAGACCCGACAGUGGAGGAGGGCGGCCCGCCCGUUGAUUCCCAGGAUGGUCGCUUCAGGAGCGCGGCGACGCGCCUCGCAGAGAGAUGACCGUGAUUCCGCAAGGAAGACAGAACCCGGCUUACUCCCUUCCCGCACCA